UACGGGGGGGGCAAGCGUUGUUCGGAAUUACUGGGCGUAAAGGGCUCGUAGGCGGCCAACUAAGUCGGACGUGAAAUCCCCAGGCUCAACCUGGGAACUGCGUCCGAUACUGGAUGGCUUGAAUCCGGGAGAGGGAUGCAGAAUUCCAGGUGUAGCGGUGAAAUGCGUAGAUAUCAGGAGGAAUACCGAUGGCGAAGGCAGGUCUCUGGGCUGACACUGACGCUCAUGCACGAAAGCGUGGGGAGCAAACAGG
rnacentral:rRNA from 1 species